rnacentral:rRNA from 1 species
AUACGGAGGAUGCAAGCGUUAUCCGGAUUUAUUGGGUUUAAAGGGUGCGUAGGCUGUUUGGCAAGUCAGGGGUGAAAUACCUGAGCCUAACUCAGGAACUGCCUUUGAUACUGUCAGGCUUGAAUACUGUUGCCGUGGGAGGAAUGAGUAGUGUAGCGGUGAAAUGCAUAGAUAUUACUCAGAACACCGAUUGCGAAGGCAUCUCACGAAGCAGUGAUUGACGCUGAGGCACGAAAGCGUGGGGAUCAAACAGGAUUAGAUACCCUGGUAGUCCACGCAGUAAACGAUGAUAACUAACCGUUGGCGAUAGAGUGUCAGUGGCUAAGCGAAAGCGAUAAGUUAUCCACCUGGGGAGUACGACCGCAAGGUUGAAACUCAAAUGAAUUGACGGGG